rnacentral:rRNA from 1 species
AGUGAACGCUGGCGGUAGGCCUAACACAUGCAAGUCGAACGGCAGCACAGUAAGAGCUUGCUCUUACGGGUGGCGAGUGGCGGACGGGUGAGGAAUACAUCGGAAUCUACUUUUUCGUGGGGGAUAACGUAGGGAAACUUACGCUAAUACCGCGUACGACCUACGGGUGAAAGCAGGGGAUCUUCGGACCUUGCGCGAUUGAAUGAGCCGAUGUCGGAUUAGUUAGUUGGCGGGGUAAAGGCCCACCAAGGCGACGAUCCGUAGCUGGUCUGAGAGGAUGAUCAGCCACACUGGAACUGAGACACGGUCCAGACUCCUACGGGAGGCAGCAGUGGGGAAUAUUGGACAAUGGGCGCAAGCCUGAUCCAGCCAUACCGCGUGGGUGAAGAAGGCCUUCGGGUUGUAAAGCCCUUUUGUUGGGAAAGAAAAGCAGCAGGUUAAUACCCCGCUGUUCUGACGGUACCCAAAGAAUAAGCACCGGCUAACUUCGUG